UGACCCACUCAAAAAAUGGACCUGGAAUCUGAACAGAGAGUUCUCAAAAGAAGUAAAUAUAAUGUGGCUAAAUUGAGACACAGGUCAUGUUUCCAUCACAGCAGAUAUAUGCCAGUGGGAACAAAGAGAACUGUAACAUUU